rnacentral:rRNA from 1 species
CGGUACAGCGGGAAGCCAGGCGGCGACGCCGAGCGGACCCGAAAGCCGUUCUCAGUUCGGAUCGGAGUCUGCAACCCGACUCCGUGAAGCUGGAUUCGCUAGUAAUCGCGCAUCAGCCAUGGCGCGGUGAAUACGUUCCCGGGCCUUGUACACACCGCCCGUCAAGCCAUGGGAGCCGGGGGUGCUUGAAGUGCGUCGCCGCGAGGCGCGCCCUAGAGCAAAACCGGUGACUGGGGCUAAGUCGUAACAAGGUAGC